rnacentral:rRNA from 1 species
CAUAGCGACUAUCGUGGCAUAUCAAUAAGCGGAGGAAAAGAAACUAACAAGGAUUCCCCUAGUAACGGCGAGUGAAGCGGGAAGAGCUCAAAUUUGAAAUCUUAAAGGGUUUCCCUUUACGAAUUGUAGUUUAAAGAAGUGUUUUCUGUUGGAGUUUCGGUAAAAGUUCUUUGGAAUAGGACAUCAUAGAGGGUGAGAAUCCCGUAUUUGACCGUUACUUUCCUAGCUGUGUGAUACACUUUCAAAGAGUCGGAUUGUUUGGGAAUGCAGUCCAAAAUGGGUGGUAAAUUUCAUCUAAAGCUAAAUAUUGGCGAGAGACCGAUAGCGAACAAGUACCGUGAGGGAAAGAUGAAAAGAACUUUGAAAAGAGAGUUAAACAGUACGUGAAAUUGUCAAAAGGGAAGCGUUUGACACCAGUGUUGUUUAGUUGAAAAUCAAUUCAAUAAUUUUUGAUUUUGAGUAGUAUUGACUUCAUCAGCUUGCUGCUUUCUUUUCGGAAAUUAUUGAAUGCACUUUUCAGUUAACAAGUCAACAUCAAUUUCUUUUGUUGUAAAAGGGUAAGAGGAAGGUGGCUUACGCUUCGGCGUAAGUGUUUAUAGCCUUUUACCUCUGCAAUCGGAGAGAUUGAGGACAGCAGCGUAGACUCCUUCGGGGUUAGAUACACUUGUGCUAAGCUAUAGCCUUGUAUAGACAACUUGUUGACUAUGCUCAGGUCAUGUAGCUUACUCGCAUUGUGCUAUUUUACCUACGCUUAGGAUGUUGACGAGACUGUCGAUCUC